rnacentral:rRNA from 1 species
AACGCGAAGAACCUUACCAAGGUUUGACAUGGACCGAAAACUCAUGGAGACAUGGGGUCCUCGGGCGGGACGACAGGUGCUGCAUGGCUGUCGUCAGCUCGUGUCGUGAGAUGUUGGGUUAAGUCCCGCAACGAGCGCAACCCUCGCCCUUAGUUGCCAUCAUUUAGUUGGGCACUCUAAGGGGACUGCCGGUGAUAAGCCGCGAGGAAGGUGGGGAUGACGUCAAGUCCUCAUGGCCCUUACGGGCUGGGCUACACACGUGCUACAAUGGCGGUGACAAUGGGAUGCAAUGGAGUAAUCCUGCGCAAAUCUCAAAAAGCCGUCUCAGUUCGGAUUGUGCUCUGCAACUCGAGCACAUGAAGUUGGAAUCGCUAGUAAUCGCAGAUCAGCACGCUGCGGUGAAUACGUUCCCGGGCCUUGUACACACCGUAGAGAC